rnacentral:rRNA from 1 species
CCCUUAGACACUCUAGGCGGCACGCGCGCUACAAUGGGUGGAAGAACGUGUUACUGCCUCCGAAAGGAGGGGUGAAUCACGAAUUCUUGCCCGUGAAUGGGAUAGUUUGUUGCAAUUUUCGGACUUGAACUAGGAAUCCCUUGUAAACAUGCUCAAGAAUAGCGUGUUGAAUACGUCCCUGCCGUUUGUACACACCGCCCGUCGUCUCUUCCGACUGAUACUCAUUGUGAGUUGCAAGGACCCUUUAUUGGGAAAUUGCUGCAAAUGCUUUGUAUUGGAGGAAGAAAAAGUCGUAACA